AGUUAUUUAGCUUAUUAAAAGCAUUUAUUUUGAAAAUAAAAGAAAGGGUUCACUUAAUAACUU
rnacentral:tRNA from 1 species